rnacentral:rRNA from 1 species
UGAACCACUUCGGUGGGGAUUAGUGGCGAACGGGUGAGUAACACGUGGGCAAUCUGCCCCUCACUUCGGGACAAGCCCUGGAAACGGGGUCUAAUACCGGAUGACACCUCCACCCGCAUGGGUGGAGGUUGAAAGCUCCGGCGGUGAGGGAUGAGCCCGCGGCCUAUCAGCUAGUUGGUGAGGUAACGGCUCACCAAGGCGACGACGGGUAGCCGGCCUGAGAGGGCGACCGGCCACACUGGGACUGAGACACGGCCCAGACUCCUACGGGAGGCAGCAGUGGGGAAUAUUGCACAAUGGGCGCAAGCCUGAUGCAGCGACGCCGCGUGAGGGAUGACGGCCUUCGGGUUGUAAACCUCUUUCAGCAGGGAAGAAGCGCAAGUGACGGUACCUGCAGAAGAAGCGCCGGCUAACUACGUGCCAGCAGCCGCGGUAAUACGUAGGGCGCGAGCGUUGUCCGGAAUUAUUGGGCGUAAAGAGCUCGUAGGCGGCCUGUCGCGUCAAUUGUGAAAGCCCGGGGCUUAACCCCGGGUCUGCAGUCGAUACGGGCAGGCUAGAGUGUGGUAGGGGAGAUCGGAAUUCCUGGUGUAGCGGUGAAAUGCGCAGAUAUCAGGAGGAACACCGGUGGCGAAGGCGGAUCUCUGGGCCAUUACUGACGCUGAGGAG